CCUCUAUCCUCAUUGGAGGAGGUCAUCCAGGGCACAGGAUGGUGGGCUGACCCCGCCCUCCCCCGACGAGCUACACACGGGCAGUGGGAGGGACCACACUCUCUCCUCUGUUGUUGGAGUGACCUUCUGCCCAGUGCUCCGGGUAGGAGAUGGUUUCAGGGACUCGCCUUCAGAGAGUGACACGUUGUUGAGACCUACCAAACUGAGAACUCUGCUUUAUUAUCUUCAAGGCAAGAAGUGGCAACAUGACAAUGGCCCUGAUGUUAGAGGACUUGAGUUGGUUCCUGAACAUGCUUCUCACUACCUGUGUACCUGGGGCAAGUCUUUUGGUCGCUGUCACUUUGGUUUCCUCAUCUGGCUAAUUGGGAGUACAGCAUGUGGAAUCCUCCAGGACUAGGGAUCGAACCCAUGUCCCCUGCAUUGGCAGGUGGAUUCUUAUCCACUGGACCACCAGGGAAGUCCCACACUUUGGUGAUUCUUACAAUAUUUCCAACUUUUUCAUUGUUAUUAU
ensembl:lncRNA